rnacentral:lncRNA from 1 species
CCUCCUGCCUCUGCCUCCUGAUCCUCUGGGAUUACAAGCAUGCACCACCGUGCUGGCUAACAGAAGAAAUUUAAUCACAUUCAGAAAGGUUUUUAAACUGAGCAUGGUGGUGCAGGCCUGUAAUCCCUAGCUACUAGGGAAGCUGAGGCAGGAGGAUUCACUUGACCCCAGGAGUUCCAGGCCAGCUUAGGCAACAUAGUGAGAGCUUGUGUCAACCAACAACAAAAUGGAAAAAGAAUAAAGCUCUGUAGGUAUCAAUUAAAGACUAGGAUCUAAUUGGCAAAGAAUCUGAACACACAAGAGGAAAAAAAAACAACAAAUGUCUCUCAGCCAUGAAAAGAUGCUUAAUCUCAACAAAAAUAUAAAUUAAAAUAACAAAAUAUUUUUAAAAACUGGUAACUGUUUACAAAGUAUGAAGAAAGAAAUACUCUCAUUGCAUCUGGUGGUACAAAUUGGUACAUGCUUAAUAGAGGACAAUUUGGCAAUAACUAAUAAAAAUCUAAAAUGUAUGCACUCUAAUCCAGCAACCCUUCUUUAUGUUUAUUCUACAUCCUUGUGAAUAUAGUUUCCUAGAUUCUUCUAUCCUAGAAGAAUCUGAAGGCUCAUUCUCCAAAAAAGCAAAACAAAGAAUUUCUGUUCAGGAAGCCACAUCUUUAUUUAAUAUCUAGGCCAAAUUAAGACAUGAAUAGUCUUUUGAAAAUGGGGAUUAAGUGGGCAUGUGAUUACUGAAUGCUGGGAUCCCCAGCCUUUUCUCCUCACUGGUCUCCUGCCACUCUGGCACCCAAACUUUUACUCACCAACCUGAAAUUCUAGAAGAUUAUUUUCUGAAGCAUCUGAUCUUUCCCAAGAAAUAGGCAUAAGUUAUUUAACAAAUUGCCUAUGCAGAUUAUCGUAAAUUGAAUCCCAAAGUCUAAAAUCUUCUGAGCCAUGUGUGGUGCUAGAGAUAGAACCCAGGACCUCACACCUGCCAGGUGAGCCAUCUGGUAGUCCUGAGCCACACAUCCAACCAGACCCCAUCCUGAUCAUAAGCAGACCUCCAGUGGCUUUCCUGCAUCUGAGAAAAGCCUCUGAACGUGGUUUUAUACAUCAAAACAAACACAAAACCCAACACUUAAUGGACUUUACAAGAAUACGAAAUUUUAAAACAAGUGCUAAUAGAUUAAGUAGAUACUGCAUCCAUGAAGCAACAACACACAUCCUCAUAAUAAACUUCAGAAAAUAAAUCUCUUCAAUACUAAAAACAUGAUAGCAGAAAUAAAGAGAAGGGUUGGAAAAGAAAAUUGAGGAGAUCUCAAAUCACAGAAGAAAAGAAAAAUAGGGAAAUGGAGAAUCAUCCUAAGUGGUUCAGGAUCCAAACCCUGGAGAAGGGAGUCAUCCACAAAGUAUUUAAGAAAAAUUCCCAGAACUGAGGCAUAUUGAUUUACAAAGUGAGCACACCCAAAUACCCAGCAAAAGGGAUCAAAACAGAUCCAUCCCAGAUUGAAACUAAAAAGCUUCUCAGCAAAACAAACAAUCAAUGAGGUGAGUAGAGAGCCUACAUCUCAGGAGCAAAUUUUUACCACUCACACAUCAGAUAGAGCACGAAUCUCUAGGGUAUAUAAAGAACUCAAAAAAAUAAAUAGCCCAAUCAAUUAAUGGGCCAAGGAACUGAACAGACACCUCUAAG